UGUCCUCUGACAGCCUGAGGGUGGUGAGUAACUUCUGAUGAAGGGUGACGGAGACUUGUAUUCGGCUCUAUAUGACACGCACAGAUCUCCUUACACGUCUUCCUCAGGGGUUAAUUAAUCGUUGCACAAUGGAUUAUAUGAGCCAAUAUUUACUAAAUCACCGCAACGCCCCUUUCUGGUAACUGAACCCAGAUCCUUAUCUGCCGGCUUAUAUUCUGAAUCACUUAUCAGGGACUCAGAGUCUACCGGACUCUACACACAGCACCGGACUCUACACACAGCACCGGACUCUACACUCAGCACCGGACUCUACACUCAGCACCGGACUCUACACUCAGCACCGGACUCUACACAUAGCACCGGACUCUACACUCAGCACCGCACUCUACACGCAGCACCGGACUCUACACUCAGCACCGCACUCUACACGCAGCACCGCACUCUACACGCAGCACCGGACUCUACACGCAGCACCGGACUCUACGCACAACACCGGACAGAACACAAUGGCCAAAUGGGCUGCCUAUCUCAUGAUCUUCUGCCUCGUGGCUGCCUCUCAGGCGGCACCGAUUCUCCGGGACCCCCAGGAUCCGGAUUCAAGCACUGGAGUUGGCAAAGUGACCACAAUCUCAAGACCUCAUCUGGAGGAUCUGAAAGCAGGUGAGAAGAAGCAGACACAACAUCGGCACAAUACUGAUGGGUCAAGCCAAGCGUCUUGCAUUCCGUGCAUACUCACCUUGCUUCCCAGUCCAUGAUGGAGGUUCCACAUCUCCCAUAUUUCGGAAGGUGAUGCCGAUCACCCUUUUUCUGUCCUCAUGUUCUUGAUUCACUUCACCACAGACCCGGGAACACACAGACUUGUCACCAAUGGAGUCCAUAGGAGAUACAAGAAACCAUUGGUGGUAGAACACUGGAGCAUCAUCCAACAUAUGAAAAUUAGUAUAGGGUGGACUAAGCCGUUUAUAGACUAAAAAUAAAGAGAAAUUAUACUACACGCAAAGUUGUUUUUCUCUGUUGACCUUCCAUUUCUGUUCAUGUCAGUUCAUUAAGA